GAAAGUGUUGGGUUGGAAAGGUCCUGGAAGAUCAUAGAGCCAUAUAAAAGUGUCGGGUUGGAAAGGUCCUGGAAGAUCAUAGAGCCAUACGAAAGUGUUGGGUUGGAAAGGUCCUGGAAGAUCACAGAUCCAUGGGAAGCGUUGGGUUGGAAAGGUCCUGGAAGAUCUUAGGACCAUUGGCUUUUAACUGAACCUUUCUCUCUUUUGGAGGUGACGGCAGCGCCGCCCCACGGCACAGAGCCCCGUGGGUCGCUGUGGGGCCCACCGUGCUGUGGGAUGGGGAACAUCGGGGUCCUGCAGGUGGGGCUCCCCGACAUGUGGGGCGCCCCGACAUGUGGGGCGCCCGUGUGGGGCAGCUCUGUGUAUAUUUGAAUACAAAUAACAAACACCAACGUUGGGAGCCCAAAACUCCGCUCUGCUCCCUGCGUGGGGCUCCUCUGACCCACAUCAGCCCCAUGGCU
ensembl:lncRNA